rnacentral:misc_RNA from 1 species
GAUGAAGAACGUAGCGAAAUGCGAUACUUGGUGUGAAUUGCAGAAUCCCGUGAACCAUCGAGUCUUUGAACGCAAGUUGCGCCUCAAGCCAUUAGGUUGAGGGCACGUCUGCCUGGGCGUCACAUAUCGUUGCCUGAUGCCAGUUUCCUCGUGAUGGGUGACUGUGCAGGGCGAAUGAUGGCUUCCCGUGAGCAUUGUUGCCUCAUGGUUGGUUGAAAAUGGAGUCCUUGGUAGGGAGCGCCGUGAUAGAUGGUGGUUGAGUGACGAACGAGACCCAAUCAUGUGAGACCCCUACCGAAUUUGGCCUUCAUGACCCACAUGCGUCUUUGGAACGCUCAUGACGAGACCUCAGGUCAGGCGGGGCUACCCGCUGAGUUUAAGCAUAUCAAUAAGCGGAGGA